GAUUCAAGGGUCAAAAGCCUGAACUCAGAGGCAAGCUUGCUUGCCGGUGGAGGGAAGGCUUUAUGACUCGCCCCGACAUGAGCAAAAAGUGGUGCGUAAGCGCCACGAUUUGCGAAUGCCGGGCAGGAUUGUGGG
rnacentral:sRNA from 1 species